AAGCAUUAAGUGAUCCACCUGGGGAGUACGUCGGCAACGAUGAAACUCAAAGGAAUUGACGGGGGCCCGCACAAGCGGAGGAACAUGUGGUUUAAUUCGAUGAUACGCGAGGAACCUUACCAGGGCUCGAACGCGGGGGGAAUGUGGUGGAAACAUCACAGCCAGCAAUGGUCGCCUGCGAGGUGCUGCAUGGUUGUCGUCAGCUCGUGCCGUGAGGUGUCGGCUUAAGUGCCAUAACGAGCGCAACCCUUAUCAUUAGUUGCCAGCGGGUCAAGCCGGGGACUCUAAUGAAACUGCCAGCGUAAGCUGCGAGGAAGGCGGGGAUGACGUCAAAUCAGCACGGCCCUUACGUCCUGGGCCACACACGUGUUACAAUGGAUGGUACAGAGGGUAGCUACCCCGCGAGGGGAUGCCAAUCUCAAAAACCAUUCACA
rnacentral:rRNA from 1 species